rnacentral:lncRNA from 1 species
GCUUCUUUUACUCAGGUGUGCUUUAAGUAAUUAUGUAGACAGCUUGAUUGGGUCUUUAUAACAGAAUACAACUUUAUAUUAAGUUCAAGGGUUUGUUCCCAUUAUGCAUGUUUGACUGGUUUUUUUAUUGGUACCUAACAUGCUAUCAAUGAUAGGAAACCAGACAUUGUUUAAAAGAAAACCAUCUUGUCUGACCUUAUAUCUAAAAAAAAAUUCAAUCCCUUUACAAAAUGUAUAUUUAUCUAUGAACAAGAAUCUGUAGGUUAAAUUUCUUAUUUCUUCAAAAGGACUGGGUUAUCAACUAUUUCAAUGCUAGACAAUCUUAUUCAUUUAAAAUGUACCAAUGCAAAACAUUUUUGUAUAAAUACAGAUGUUUCUUGUAUGUUAUAAAUAAUGUGCAUUCAUUAUUAUUUAUGAGGUACCAGUUUUU